UCAGCUCGUGUCGUGAGAUGUAGGGUUAAGUCCCGCAACGAGCGCAACCCUUGUCUUUAACUUGCCAUCAUUGAGUUGGGCACUUUAAAGAGACUGCCGGUGUUAAACCGGAGGAAGGUGGGAUGACGUCAAGUCCUCAUGGCCUUUAUGCCCAGGGCUACACACGUGCUACAAUGGGUGGUACAAAGAGCAGCCAGCUCGCGAGAGUAUGCAAAUCUCAAAAAGCCAUCCUCAGUUCGGAUUGGAGUCUGCAACUCGACUACGUGAAGUCGGAAUCGCUAGUAAUCGUGGAUCAGAAUGUCACGGUGAAUACGUUCCCGGGUCUU
rnacentral:rRNA from 1 species